rnacentral:rRNA from 1 species
GACGAACGCUGGCGGCGUGCUUAACACAUGCAAGUCGAACGAUGAAGCCGGAGCUUGCUCUGGUGAAUUAGUGGCGAACGGGUGAGUAACACGUGAGUAACCUGCCCUUGACUCUGGAAUAACUGCGGGAAACUGUAGCUAGUACCGGAUACGACCCUCGGAGGCAUCUCCUGGGGGUGGAAAGAAUUUCGGUCAAGGAUGGACUCGCGGUCUAUCAGCUAGUUGGUGAGGUAAAGGCUCACCAAGGCGACGACGGGUAGCCGGCCUGAGUGGGUGACCGGCCACACUGGGACUGAGACACGGCCCAGACUCCUACGGGAGGCAGCAGUGGGGAAUAUUGCACAAUGGGCGCAAGCCUGAUGCAGCAACGCCGCGUGAGGGAUGACGGCCUUCGGGUUGUAAACCUCUUUUAGCAGGGAAGAAGCGAAAGUGACGGUACCUGCAGAAAAAGCACCGGCUAACUACGUGCCAGCCGCCGCAGUAA